GCCUUCGUGGUGUACUGGUCAGCACGCUUGACGCGUAACCGAGAGGUCCGAGGUUCGAUUCCCGGCGAAGGCG
rfam:Stegodyphus mimosarum contig6979, whole genome shotgun sequence.